GCCUUUGUGAUCAUAUGAAACAAGCGUGGUGCCAUGCCGAGUUAGCCCAGGCCUCAUAAUGUGGAUUGAUCUUCCUGUUCAGGCCGAUCUACCAGAUCUACCUCAGCUCCCGUAGCUCCAGCCUGAGGGGCUCCAGUGGCCACCCUGUCUGUCCCUAUCCUCCUCUGCCUCUGUAAAGAUUAGCCUUGAAGUUGGUCUCCCCUCAGCCACAAAGCGCUGUUCUAUUGACUGGUUCCAGGGAGAGUAUUGAUGGCUCCAAAAUUUGGGCAAGGGAACACAAAAAGGCUGACCCCCGCUGGGCUCAGCACGACAGCCGAGUCAGCAGGGAGGCUUGCAUUUAUUAGCCUGGGAGAGGAGCUCCUGCAGAAUUAAAGCACAUUCACCCAUCCAUUGAUCUCUGUCAGGAAAACAAUACCCGCCCCUCUCUGGCAGCGAGCUAGGCGCUGCACGGCUCUGAGGUAAUGUACUGUAGCAGCCAUUGAAAACAAGAUGCCUCACACCCUCGGGCUCCAAGUAAACUGUCUGAAAAGUGAGAGGAAUGGGAUGAGAAUAACUAACACAUUGGAUUAUCAAUCCACCUGUCCAAUUGUGUUUUGCAGUGAAUGGUAAAUAAAAUGUGGAGGGAUGUGAAUAUGGGCCCUUUGUGUGCUUACUAAGGGGAGAGAACAGUCUUUGGGUUUUUGCGUUGUGACAUGUUUUGUGACAUGUUGUUUGAAUGCUUCCAUGCAUACUAGUUCCCAGGUUCUGUCUAUGGAAGUGGAGUGUUGAGGUGUGCCUGUGGAUGAUAUCCUUGACAUAACUGGCUGUGUCUAACCUUCUGUACGGCUUAAGGCCCGCACGGGCUGGAAGAUUUUAGCCGUCUUAUGCCAUGAUUUUGCCGUCCUAGACAACAUUUCCACGUCGUGAGCAAAUUCUUAGGUCGUUAACGACUGUCGGACGUCUUGGCUCGUUUAGUGUGACAGGGUCUAGGUCUGCCGAUUAAGUAACACUACGUGCGGUCUUAGGCGCCGACGAAGUUCUGUCAGUGUCAGAAAUAUGUGGCUGGUGUAACGAACCUUGACUUUUUCCACAUUUUGUUGUGUUCUG